rnacentral:misc_RNA from 1 species
GUAUUGUAUUGCGUUAAACGCAUGAUGCAUUCCGUGAAACUUUAUUACAGUGUGUAUGUAAAGACAUAGAACCACAGCAAAAGGGACGGAGCCCCCCAGGCCAUAGAACUACAGUGGGUGCACAGGUGUGAGUGGAUGUGUAAACAGAGCGUGCACAUGCCCCCAUUUGAGGACCAGCAACAACUCGUGUCGACAAUUCGGUAAUGAUCCUUCCGCAGGUUCACCUACGGAAA